GAUGAACGCUGGCGGCGUGCCUAAUACAUGCAAGUCGAGCGAACAGACGAGGAGCUUGCUCCUCUGACGUUAGCGGCGGACGGGUGAGUAACACGUGGAUAACCUACCUAUAAGACUGGGAUAACUUCGGGAAACCGGGGCUAAUACCGGAUAAUAUAUUGAACCGCAUGGUUCAAUAGUGAAAGACGGUUUUGCUGUCACUUAUAGAUGGAUCCGCGCCGCAUUGGCUAGUUGGUAAGGUAACGGCUUACCAAGGCGACGAUGCGUAGCCGACCUGAGAGGGUGAUCGGCCACACUGGAACUGAGACACGGUCCAGACUCCUACGGGAGGCAGCAGUAGGGAAUCUUCCGCAAUGGGCGAAAGCCUGACGGAGCAACGCCGCGUGAGUGAUGAAGGUCUUCGGAUCGUAAAACUCUGUUAUUAGGGAAGAACAAAUGUGUAAGUAACUAUGCACGUCUUGACGGUACCUAAUCAGAAAGCCACGGCUAACUACGUG
rnacentral:rRNA from 1 species